rnacentral:rRNA from 1 species
GACGAACGCUGGCGGCGUGCUUAACACAUGCAAGUCGAGCGGUAAGGCCCUUUCGGGGGUACACGAGCGGCGAACGGGUGAGUAACACGUGGGUGACCUGCCCUCAGCUCUGGGAUAAGCCUGGGAAACUGGGUCUAAUACUGGAUAUGACUCCACGGUGCAUGUCGUGGGGUGAAAGCCUUGUGCGGCUGAGGAUGGGCCCGCGGCCUAUCAGCUUGUUGGUGGGGUGANGGCCUACCAAGGCGACGACGGGUAGCCGGCCUGAGAGGCGACCGGCCACACUGGGACUGAGACACGGCCCAGACUCCUACGGGAGGCAGCAGUGGGGAAUCUUGCGCAAUGGGCGAAAGCCUGACGCAGCGACGCCGCGUGAGGGAUGACGGCCU